GUUAUAUGGUCAAGCGAAUAAGCGCACACGGUGGAUGCCUAGGCGGUCAGAGGCGAUGAAGGACGUGGUAGCCUGCGAAAAGUGUCGGGGAGCUGGCAACAAGCUUUGAUCCGGCAAUAUCCGAAUGGGGAAACCCACUGCUUCGGCAGUAUCCUGCAGUGAAUUCAUAGCUGCUGGAAGCGAACCCGGUGAACUGAAAUAUCUAAGUAACCGGAGGAAAAGAAAUCAACCGAGAUUCCCUGAGUAGUGACGAGCGAACGGGGAACAGCCCUUAAGCUGGAAUGGCUUUAGAAAAACAAUCUGGAAAGAUUGGCCAUAGAAGGUGAUAGCCCUGUAUUUAAAAGGGCCACUCCAGUGAAGACGAGUAGGGCGGGGCACGUGAAACCCUGUCUGAAUAUGGGGGGACCAUCCUCCAAGGCUAAAUACUCCUGACCGACCGAUAGUGAACCAGUACCGUGAGGGAAAGGCGAAAAGAACCCCGGAGAGGGGAGUGAAAUAGAUCCUGAAACCGUGUGCGUACAAGCAGUAGGAGCUCGCAAGAGUGACUGCGUACCUUUUGUAUAAUGGGUCAGCGACUUACUGUUCGUGGCAAGCUUAACCGUAUAGGGGAGGCGAAGGGAAACCGAGUCUGAUAAGGGCGCAUAGUCGCGGGCAGUAGACCCGAAACCGGGUGAUCUAGUCAUGGCCAGGGUGAAGGUGCCGUAACAGGUACUGGAGGCCCGAACCCACGUCUGUUGCAAAAGACGGGGAUGAGCUGUGAUUAGGAGUGAAAAGCUAAUCGAACCCGGAGAUAGCUGGUUCUCCUCGAAAGCUAUUUAGGUAGCGCCUCAUAUGUAUCCUCUCGGGGGUAGAGCACUGUUAUGGCUAGGGGGUCAUCGCGACUUACCAAACCAUUGCAAACUCCGAAUACCGAGACGGACUGUAUGGGAGACACACGGCGGGUGCUAACGUCCGUCGUGAAAAGGGAAACAACCCAGACCCACAGCUAAGGUCCCAAAUUCACUGCUAAGUGGAAAACGAUGUGGAAAGGCAUAGACAGCCAGGAGGUUGGCUUAGAAGCAGCCACCCUUUAAAGAAAGCGUAAUAGCUCACUGGUCGAGUCGGUCUGCGCGGAAGAUUUAACGGGGCUAAGCAGUGAACCGAAGCUUGGGGUGCAUAAAACUUGUUUUAUGCGCGGUAGAGGAGCGUUCCGUAAGCCUGCGAAGGUGGAUUGAGAAGUCUGCUGGAGGUAUCGGAAGUGCGAAUGCUGACAUGAGUAACGAUAAUGCGGGUGAAAAGCCCGCACGCCGAAAGCCCAAGGUUUCCUUGCGCAACGUUAAUCGACGCAGGGUUAGUCGGUCCCUAAGGCGAGGGCGAAAGCCGUAGUCGAUGGGAAGCAGGUUAAUAUUCCUGCACCUCGCGUGAGUGCGAUGGAGGGACGGAGAAGGUUAGGUGUACCGGGCGUUGGUUGUCCCGGGGAAAGGCGGUAGGUUUGAAUCUUUGGCAAAUCCGGGAUUCUUUAAGACCGAGCACCGAGACGAGCCUUUAUGGCGAAGUCACUGAUACCACGCUUCCAGGAAAAGCUCCUAAGCUUCAGCUCACGAAGACCGUACCGUAAACCGACACAGGUGGGUAGGAUGAGAAUUCUCAGGCGCUUGAGAGAACUCGGGUGAAGGAACUAGGCAACAUGGCACCGUAACUUCGGGAGAAGGUGCACCCUUUUUGGUGGCUCAUGCGAGCUAUAGCUGAAGAGGGUCGCAGAAACCAGGCCGCUGCGACUGUUUAUCAAAAACACAGCACUCUGCAAACACGAAAGUGGACGUAUAGGGUGUGACGCCUGCCCGGUGCUGGAAGGUUAAUUGAUGGGGUCAGCCGCAAGGCGAAGCUCUUGAUCGAAGCCCCAGUAAACGGCGGCCGUAACUAUAACGGUCCUAAGGUAGCGAAAUUCCUUGUCGGGUAAGUUCCGACCUGCACGAAUGGCGUAACGACAGCGGCGCUGUCUCCACCCGAGACUCAGUGAAAUUGAAAUCGCUGUGAAGAUGCAGCGUUCCCGUGGCAAGACGGAAAGACCCCGUGAACCUUUACUAUAGCUUUACACUGAACGUUGAGUUCGUCUGUGUAGGAUAGGUGGGAGGCUAUGAAACUGUGGCGCUAGCUGCAGUGGAGCCAUCCUUGAAAUACCACCCUGUCGUGCUUGACGUUCUAACCUAGGUCCGUUAUCCGGAUCAGGGACCGUGUAUGGUGGGUAGUUUGACUGGGGCGGUCUCCUCCUAAAGAGUAACGGAGGAGCACGAAGGUACGCUCAGCGCGGUCGGACAUCGCGCACUGUGUGCAAAGGCAUAAGCGUGCUUGACUGCAAGAUCGACGGAUCAAGCAGGUACGAAAGUAGGUCUUAGUGAUCCGGUGGUUCUGUAUGGAAGGGCCAUCGCUCAACGGAUAAAAGGUACUCCGGGGAUAACAGGCUGAUACCGCCCAAGAGUUCAUAUCGACGGCGGUGUUUGGCACCUCGAUGUCGGCUCAUCACAUCCUGGGGCUGUAGUCGGUCCCAAGGGUAUGGCUGUUCGCCAUUUAAAGUGGUACGCGAGCUGGGUUCAGAACGUCGUGAGACAGUUCGGUCCCUAUCUGCCAUGGGCGUUGGAAGUUUGAGAGGGGCUGCUCCUAGUACGAGAGGACCGGAGUGGACGAACCUCUGGUGUUCCGGUUGUCACGCCAGUGGCAUUGCCGGGUAGCUAUGUUCGGAAGCGAUAACCGCUGAAAGCAUCUAAGCGGGAAGCGCGCCUCAAGAUGAGACUUCCCGGGGCACAAGCCCCCUAAAGGAACCAUGUAGACUACGUGGUUGAUAGGUCAGGUGUGUAAGUACAGCAAUGUAUUGAGCUAACUGAUACUAAUGAUCCGUGCGGCUUGACCAUAUAACCUCA
rnacentral:rRNA from 1 species